CCUACGGGUGGCAGCAGUGAGGAAUAUUGGUCAAUGGGCGCGAGCCUGAACCAGCCAAGUAGCGUGAAGGAUGACUGCCCUACGGGUUGUAAACUUCUGUUAUAAAGGAAUAAAGUGAGGCACGUGUGCCUUUUUGUAUGUACUUUAUGAAUAAGGAUCGGCUACCUCCGUGCCAGCAGCCGCGGUAAUACGGAGGAUCCGAGCGUUAUCCGGAUUUAUUGGGGUUAACGGGAGCGUCGAGGGGUUGUUAAGUCAGUUGUGAAAGUUUGCGGCUCAACCGGAAAAUUGCAAUUGUUACUGGCAGUCUUGCGUACAGUUGAGGUAGCCGGAUUUCUUUGUGUAGCGGUGACAUGCUU
rnacentral:rRNA from 1 species